CAGUCGCCGCGGUAAUACGAAGGGUGCAAGCGUUAAUCGGAAUUACUGGGCGUAAAGCGUGCGUAGGUGGUGGUUUAAGUCCGUUGUGAAAGCCCUGGGCUCAACCUGGGAAUUGCAGUGGAUACUGGGUCACUAGAGUGUGGUAGAGGAUAGUGGAAUUUCCGGUGUAGCAGUGAAAUGCGUAGAGAUCGGAAGGAACAUCUGUGGCGAAGGCGACUAUCUGGGCCAACACUGACACUGAGGCACGAAAGCGUGGGGAGCAAACAGGAUUAGAUACCCCCGUAGUCCCUGUCUCUUAUAA
rnacentral:rRNA from 1 species